rnacentral:lncRNA from 1 species
CAUGGUGCCACAGCCACAUACCAUAAGCUCCACUAUGUGUGUCCAGCAGCUCUGUAUCUAUCUCAGGGCUUCAGCAUACUUUAUAGCCUCCAAACCCCGUUUGACUUUCCACCUCCCCCACUGAGGGGCAAUGGCACUCAUCCUGCCUACCCCAAGACAGUGAUGCAGAAGAUACCUAAGUGUGCAUCCCUCUGUGGGCCUGGAGAAGACUAAAGAAUACCUGGGAGUGGGUCACUGGGUCCAGGGUCACUAUGCCCCAAACCUGAUGACAGCUGACAGCAGUGCUGAAGAACUCAGCAGCAGUACAAGUAACAAAACAUGGUAGCUCUCCCAUCUCCAUCAACCCAACAGCGUGUCAUUACGCUUGUGGGCGUGUGAUUUCUCUGCUACAAAAACAAGAAGUUUGAGCAUCUCCUCCUGGGUUGCUGAGCUCUCUGGCUCCUCUUAUGCACUUGCUUGUCCACAUCUCUGCUGUUUUAACUCCAGGCACUUUUGGCUCUUCAUGAAUUUGCAGGAGCUCCUUGCAGUUUUGGUAAAAACCAUGUUGGUCUGGACACUGCAAACAUCUACUCCUCCUGUCUGUAUUGACUCUGGCCAUGGGACACUUGGUUGAACGGAGGAGGCAUAUUGAUAAGACCAGCCAGCUCACCUGAGGAAACCAUUUCCAGCACCAGAUGGUCCCCAGGUGGCAGAAAAGCAACAGUAUCAUUCUCGUCAAACCACUGCGGGUAGUUCCUAUGUUCCUUGACCCACUAACCCCUGACAGGACAGAGCGAGGGGGACAUCCUACCACCAAUGGCAAGACUGGGCAUCAAUCCAUAGGUCUGCACAGAGCUCUGCCCCUGUGCAGGACCGGAGUAGCCAUAACGCCUGCCCCACCCUCUCCAGCAGGUCAUACCCUGGAAAAAAGCUACAUCUGCAUCAAGAGACUGUCAGCAGCCUGGCUCCCCUUGGGUUCUCUUGGACAUGGAAAUCAGGCUGGGACACCCCUGUGCCCACGUUACAUGGCAGAACCAGUUCUGCACUGCUCCCCAUGCUGGCACCCCCACGUCCACCUUUUUGGUACCUCAGUAACACGGACUGGGGUCACCUCCAACCUCCUGAUGCUGCAAAUGACUCAGUGUCCAUCCUGUGCAUGUUCCCUCAUAGAGCCAUGCUGGCAUCUCUCUGGCACGCCAACCCAAGGCUGGAACUGCCAAGUCACAUGGAAGCAAACAGCAUAG